ACCUUGUUGCUUCGGCGGGCCCGCCUCACGGCCGCCGGGGGGCAUCCGCCCCCGGGCCCGCGCCCGCCGAAGACACACAAACGAACUCUUGUCUGAAGAUUGCAGUCUGAGUACUUGACUAAAUCAGUUAAAACUUUCAACAACGGAUCUCUUGGUUCCGGCAUCGAUGAAGAACGCAGCGAAAUGCGAUAAGUAAUGUGAAUUGCAGAAUUCAGUGAAUCAUCGAGUCUUUGAACGCACAUUGCGCCCCCUGGUAUUCCGGGGGGCAUGCCUGUCCGAGCGUCAUUGCUGCCCUCAAGCACGGCUUGUGUGUUGGGCUCUCGCCCCCCGCUUCCGGGGGGCGGGCCCGAAAGGCAGCGGCGGCACCGCGUCCGGUCCUCGAGCGUAUGGGGCUUCGUCACCCGCUCUGUAGGCCCGGCCGGCGCCCGCCGGCGAACACCAUCAAUCUUAACCAGGUUGACCUCGGAUCAGGUAGGGAUACCCGCUGAACUUAAGCAUAUCAAU
rnacentral:rRNA from 1 species